rnacentral:rRNA from 1 species
AUGUGCAAAUGCACACUGCUGGAGCGCCCUUCAGCAACGAGGAGGCCCAACGCGACACGGCCGCCGCCUGCGUCGGUUCUCCCCAGCACGACACGGCCGCCGCCGGCAUCGGUUCUCCCCAGCACAACCACUCUGAAGACGCCCAGCUUGGCCCAUACAAUUUGGAUUCUUUUGGAGACUGGAAACAACUUUAAAGCUACUUGUCACAAAGUGUCAUUGAACGCCUUGAGCCAAUUGGUGGCAAUUGCAUUGGAGACAUCAUGGAUGGAUAGAGCUCCCCAAAUGGAUAUGGAGACGAUUGAUGGAAACACUUAG